rnacentral:snRNA from 12 species
GUUCCUUCAGGGACAUCCAAUAAAAUUGGAGAGAAGAUAUGCACAGCCCAUGUGCAAGGAUGACAUGCACAAACCGAGAGUUGGUGUGCACAUAC